ACAGUCUUAGUUCGGAUUGUAGGCUGCAACCCGCCUACAUGAAGUCGGAAUUGCUAGUAAUCGCGGAUCAGCAUGCCGCGGUGAAUACGUUCCCGGGCCUUGUACACACCGCCCGUCACACCAUGGGAGUUGGUAACACCCGAAGUCAGUAGCCUAACCGCAAGGAGGGCGCUGCCGAAGGUGGGAUCGAUGACUGGGGUGAAGUCGUAACAAGGUAGC
rnacentral:rRNA from 1 species